rnacentral:lncRNA from 1 species
GGUCUCAAAUUAUAAAAGAAUUUGAUUGAUACGAAAUCUCUCUCUCGAUCAUUUGGAGUUUGGGUUAUCGUAGAGGAAAACACGAAGAUUUCGAAAAUGACGGGUUAAAGAUAAGGCAAAUUGCUGUAACAAAAGGUUCCCGAGUAAAAGAAGGAAAGGC